rnacentral:rRNA from 1 species
UAAGGGGGAUGCAAGCGUUAUCCGGAAUCACUGGGCGUAAAGCGUCUGUAGGUGGUGAUGCAAGUCACUGGUGCAAAACUCUGGCUCAACCGGAGGAAAGCCAGUGAAACUGCAUGACUAGAGUGUGGGAGAGGUAGAAGGAAUUCCCGGAGUAGCGGUGAAAUGCGUAGAUACAGGGAAGAACACCGGAGGCGAAAGCGUUCUACUGGAACACAACUGACUCUGAGAGACGAAAGCUAGGGGAGCGAAUGGG